GGUUCAGUGAGGCUUUCGGACUGGCCCAGGGAGGUCGGCAACGACCACCCAGGGCCGGAAAGUUAUCCAAACUCGAUCAUUUAGAGGAAGUAAAAGUCGUAACAAGGUCUCCGUUGGUGAACCAGCGGAGGGAUCAUUG
rnacentral:rRNA from 1 species